AGCAUUCUUGCUAUUACCUAGGUUCAGGAAGACUCUUUAAAAUAGUGACAUCUUUUGAGAUACUCAUAGAGUCUUUCUUCUUAUCUGGCAGGAUUGAAUCUCUUCAAGGCGUACUCAGAUUCUAGCAGCAGUUCUUGUUAUUAAUAAGUUGCUUACCUUGAUAAAGGGUUGCUUGCCUUUCCUUUUCUUUCCUUUCUUUGGCACAUUCUUUCAAAAUGUUAUUAAUAAGUUGUGUCUGCUCCUUCAAUUCAAGCUUCUUCUUUUUUCUUUCCUAUUUAUAUUCUUCCAUAAGUAUUUCCUGAUAUUUCAUUUUUUCCUGUAAUUUGCCAUUCUGGACUCCUGCCUCUCUCACUGCGCUUUAAAGCAGGGUCUUUUUUUUCUCCCACUGUAUUUCCUAUCCCUCAAAUUCCGCUUCUCCUGCUAUUACUUCUUCCCUGAGCCUCUUUACCUCCUUU
rnacentral:misc_RNA from 1 species